CCUACGGGUGGCAGAAGUGGGGAAUAUUGCACAAUGGGGGGAACCCUGAUGCAGCGACGCCGCGUGAGCGAUGAAGUAUUUCGGUAUGUAAAGCUCUAUCAGCAGGGAAGAAAAUGACGGUACCUGACUAAGAAGCCCCGGCUAACUACGUGCCAGCAGCCGCGGUAAUACGUAGGGGGCAAGCGUUAUCCGGAUUUACUGGGUGUAAAGGGAGCGUAGACGGCUGUGCAAGUCUGGAGUGAAAGGCAUGGGCUCAACCUGUGGACUGCUUUGGAAACUGUGCGGCUUGAGUGUCGGAGAGGCAAGUGGAAUUCCUAGUGUAGCGGUGAAAUGCGUAGAUAUCACGAAGAACUCCGAUUGCGAAGGCAGCUUACUAAACUGCCACUGACAUUGAUGCUCGAAAGUGUGGGUAUCAAACAGGAUUAGAUACCCUGGUAGUC
rnacentral:rRNA from 1 species